GACGAACGCUGGCGGCGUGCUUAACACAUGCAAGUCGAACGAUGAACUUGGAGCUUGCUCUGGGGGAUUAGUGGCGAACGGGUGAGUAACACGUGAGUAACCUGCCCUGGACUCUGGGAUAACUUCGAGAAAUCGGAGCUAAUGCCGGAUAGGACCUUGCACCGCAUGGUGUGGGGUGGAAAGUUUUUCGGUUUGGGAUGGACUCGCGGCCUAUCAGCUUGUUGGUGAGGUAAUGGCUCACCAAGGCGUCGACGGGUAGCCGGCCUGAGAGGGUGACCGGCCACACGGGGACUGAGACACGGCCCAGACUCCUGCGGGAGGCAGCAGUAGGGAAUUUUCCACAAUGGACGAAAGUCUGAUGGAGCAACGCCGCGUGCAGGAUGAAGGCUUUCGGGUCGUAAACUGCUUUUAUGUGUGAAGAUUAUGACGGUAGCACAUGAAUAAGGAUCGGCUAACUCCGUGCCAGCAGCCGCAGUAAAAC
rnacentral:rRNA from 1 species